rnacentral:rRNA from 1 species
UACGGAGGGUGCAAGCGUUGUUCGGAAUCAUUGGGCGUAAAGCGCGUGUAGGCGGCUUGGUAAGUCGGGUGUGAAAUCCCGGGGCCCAACCCCGGAACUGCAUUCGAAACUGCCUCGCUAGAGUCCCGGAGAGGAAGGCGGAAUUCCCGGUGUAGUGGUGAAAUGCGUAGAUAUCGGGAGGAACACCAGUGGCGAAGGCGACUACCUGGCUGUUCUUGACGCUGAGGCGCGAAAGCAUGGGGAGCGAACAGG